AAUGUUGGUUCCUUGUAUCUAGUACAGUCCUGUACAGUCUAGUACAGGGGCUUUGGGGUUAGUGUAGGGGAGUUGAGAGGUGAGAUGAGAAUGGCACUGUGGGUCCCCAGAUCCGCUGUCCACCCCGCCAACCCAGAUCACCUCUGGCCCUUCAUGUGUCUUUAGGACUUGCUGCUGGGGGGAAACCUCCGAGUCCCACUUUGGUAAUAAGAGGUCUCCGCCCUUUCUCCCUGGGCAGCAGGAUGUUGUAAUGGAAAAUGGGUGAACCUAGGUUUCAGAGACUCUGCUCCUCUGGCUUUAAAUCCCCUUCUGCCACUAUCCAGUCAAGGACUGAUUCAGAACCUAAUUUUCUUCAUUCGGAAAAUAAUGUUCUGAUAGAGGUGACUUUUGUGGUACUUGAGACCACAUGAUUCCUAUCAUUACCAACCAAUAUUUUCCCACUGUUUUUGCCCCAUGUGACUUCUCUUUGAUUCCUCCUGGCAGGGAAGUUCUGUGAGGCUUUUACAGGAAAGCAGAGCCACUUUUGGGGUCCUGUGCUGGGCUGGAUUGUUUUCCUGGACUGAACUUAGUCCACAGGCUGCUGGCAUCUGUUUCUCCUCCUGCAUCUCUCUCUGCCCUUGUAUACACCUGCAUUCAAAAAUGAUCAUGGGCUGCCUGUGCUCUGGUCAUCGAUAACGCAGGGAGAGGAAUUGCUGAAAGCCGUUUCCCGUGUUUGGAGGGUUCACACCUGUCCCUUUCAAAUGCUGGCGCUUUCACACAGUCCUUCUCUCCUGCCAGCACCUUCUGGUCUCAGGAGCAUUGCAGGAUGCUGUGUGAGUGAGUGAUGGGAGACACUUUAGUGUGGCUUUUUUCAGCUUAGCCUCCUGUUAUCAGAGAACAAUCUCUCUCAGUGUCAAGGUUUGGGUACUAGAUGGUGAGAAAAGCCUGUGUGAAUUAUUUUUUUUAACAAAUAAGUGUGAUGUUGGGUGGCAUACAGUGACUGCCUUAAGAUUUUCAAAGAGAAGCAGGCUUUUGGAGGUGGUGGACCUGGGCAGGUCUUUCAAAGAGUGGGAUGCGAUGGGCAAUAGAAAGCUUGAAGAAAGAUGGCAGAACACUGGAGACCAAGUACUUGCAGCCUCCUGCUCUGUGGCCCCUCCUCACUCCAGGGAUGCCGCCUUGGGUCUGGAGACUGUUGGAGGAAAACCCCAAGAGGUGCAGGCACUGAGCCUCUCAAGACAAUGACCUGGGGUUCCAGCUUCCCUGGAGGGGUCUCCUCAUGAUUGUUUGGGGGUUGAUCACAGACCAAAAGUGAUGAGUGAUGUCACUCCGUGACUCAUGGCUGGACCUUCUUGCCCCUAUUGUCUCAGCACAACACUAAUCGACUUUUCCCUCAGCGUGGGUGGGCAGAGGAAAAGCCUUGUGGCUCUGGGGACUUGGGAUCCAGAGUUGAAGACCUUUCAGCUGGCUCUGCCCUGCCAGUGCCACAGAGUGCCAUGGCCCAGGAAGACUGGUUUUCUUCCAUCUAGGCCAGGCCAUCCAGUGGCCAUCCUCUGUGUCCUCCUGCCUGUUCCUGGUGUGACUUCUGAAAACCAAGAAUUUGUUCCUGUUGACUUUUUCUGCGCUAUGGACCAUUGUCCUCUCACGCACUCAAUAAAUCUUGAAACAUGC